rnacentral:rRNA from 1 species
CUACGGGCGGCAGCAGUGGGGAAUAUUGGACAAUGGGGGAAACCCUGAUCCAGCAAUGCCGCGUGUGUGAAGAAGGCCUGCGGGUUGUAAAGCACUUUCGGUUGGGAGGACUGCUUCUAGCACUAAUAUUGUUGGAAGUUGACGUUACCUUCAGAAGAAGCACCGGCUAACUCCGUGCCAGCAGCCGCGGUAAUACGGAGGGUGCAAGCGUUAAUCGGAAUUACUGGGCGUAAAGCGCGCGUAGGCGGCUAGAUCAGUCGGGUGUGAAAGCCCAGGGCUUAACCUGGGAACUGCAUCCGAUACUGUCUAGCUUGAGUACAGGAGAGGAGAGUGGAAUUCCACAUGUAGCGGUGAAAUGCGUAGAUAUGUGGAGGAACACCAAUGGCGAAGGCAGCUCUCUGGCCUGAUACUGACGCUGAGGUGCGAAAGCGUGGGGAUCAAACAGGAUUAGAUACCCUGGUAGUC